rnacentral:rRNA from 1 species
CGUCGUACGAGUUCUCGUUGAUGAUCGGUGCUUGCACCGAGAUUCAACAUGGAACGAGUGGCGGACGGGUGAGUAACACGUGGGUAACCUGCCCUUAAGUGGGGGAUAACAUUUGGAAACAGAUGCUAAUACCGCAUAGAUCCAAGAACCGCAUGGUUCUUGGCUGAAAGAUGGCGUAAGCUAUCGCUUUUGGAUGGACCCGCGGCGUAUUAGCUAGUUGGUGAGGUAAUGGCUCACCAAGGCGAUGAUACGUAGCCGAACUGAGAGGUUGAUCGGCCACAUUGGGACUGAGACACGGCCCAAACUCCUACGGGAGGCAGCAGUAGGGAAUCUUCCACAAUGGACGCAAGUCUGAUGGAGCAACGCCGCGUGAGUGAAGAAGGCUUUCGGGUCGUAAAACUCUGUUGUUGGAGAAGAAUGGUCGGCAGAGUAACUGUUGUCGGCGUGACGGUAUCCAACCAGAAAGCCACGGCUAACUACGUGCCAGCAGCCGCGGUAAUACGUAGGUGGCAAGCGUUAUCCGGAUUUAUUGGGCGUAAAGCGAGCGCAGGCGGUUUUUUAAGUCUGAUGUGAAAGCCCUCGGCUUAACCGAGGAAGCGCAUCGGAAACUGGGAAACUUGAGUGCAGAAGAGGACAGUGGAACUCCAUGUGUAGCGGUGAAAUGCGUAGAUAUAUGGAAGAACACCAGUGGCGAAGGCGGCUGUCUGGUCUGUAACUGACGCUGAGGCUCGAAAGCAUGGGUAGCGAACAGGAUUAGAUACCCUGGUAGUCCAUGCCGUAAACGAUGAAUGCUAGGUGUUGGAGGGUUUCCGCCCUUCAGUGCCGCAGCUAACGCAUUAAGCAUUCCGCCUGGGGAGUACGACCGCAAGGUUGAAACUCAAAGGAAUUGACGGGGGCCCGCACAAGCGGUGGAGCAUGUGGGUUUAAUUCGAAGCAACGCGGAAGAACCUUACCAGGUCUUGACAUCUUUUU